CUGGAGCAGUUGUGAGUGAGCUGUGGAACAGCCCUGGUCCUGCUAAUGCUGCCACCUCCUCCGGGACUGAGGAAAAAGAGCAUGCACUUCUUGCAGACCUUCCUCUGGUGGAGGGCACUCCGAGAUGAUGGCCCUUACUCAAAGGGAAGCAAGGACUCUGGAGGGAUGGAUGCAGCCCUGGUCUCCAGGAGGCAAAGCAUCCCAGAAGAGUUCAGAGGGGUCACAAUCGUGGAGCUGAUUAAGAAAGAAGGAAGCACCCUUGGUUUAACCAUUUCAGGUGGCACAGACAAAGAUGGAAAGCCAAGAGUCUCCAAUCUGAGGCCAGGGGGACUGGCUGCAAGGAGUGACCAGCUGAACGUGGGGGAUUACAUCAAGUCGGUGAAUGGCAUUAACCUGACCAAGCUGCGGCACGACGAGAUCAUCAGCCUGCUGAAGAAUGUGGGCGAGAGGGUGGUGCUGGAAGUCGAGUAUGAGCUCCCUCCAGCCGUGCCAGAAAGCAGUGCUGGCAUUAUUCCCAAGACCAUUGAAGUGUCCCUCUACAAGGAAGGCAACAGCUUUGGCUUUGUGCUGAGAGGGGGAGCCCAUGAAGACUGGCACAAGUCCAGGCCGCUGGUGCUCACCUAUGUGAGGCCAGGGGGCCCUGCAGACAGGGAAGGGUCCUUGAAAAUUGGGGACAGGCUGCUGAGUGUGGAUGGGAUUCCUCUGCACAGCAUGACCCACGCUGAUGCCCUCAACAUCCUGCGGCAGUGCAGCCAGGAGGCACUUUUCCAGAUUGAGUAUGAUGUGACCAUCAUGGAUACUGUAGCAAAUGCUUCUGGUCCUUUACUAGUUGAAAUAGCAAAGACUCCAGGGUCCACGCUGGGAAUCACACUGACCACAGCCAUGCACCGGAACAAGCAGGUCAUCGUCAUCGACAAGAUCAAGCCAGCCAGCGUGGUGGACAGAUGUGGUGCGUUGCAUGUUGGUGACCACAUUCUCUCCAUUGAUGGCACAAGCACAGAGCACUGCUCCUUAUUAGAGGCAACUCAGCUUUUAGCUGCCACUUCUGAAAAUGUCAAGCUGGAGAUAUUACCUGUUCACCAAAGCAGGCUGCCUUUGAAGCCUCCAGAAACAGUCAAGGUGCAGAAGAGUGACCACCAUCACUGCUGGGACCCCUGUGUCAACUACUGUCACACCCACCACCCUGGACACUGCAAGACACCCACUUGGACCCAGACAUCUGGACAGGAUUACUGCAAAUCUCUGGUGGCUGCCAACUUCUCGUCUCCCACCAUGAACGCGCAGGGAUUCCCGUGCCAGAACUCCAACACGCUACCUCGCAGCUCCCACCCCAUGAGCCCCCGCACCACCAUGCUGAGGAGGAGGCAGAAGAAGAAGGAGCACAAGAGCUCACUGUCACUGGCCUCCAGCACGGUGGGUCCUGGCGGGCAGAUAGUCCACACGGAGACAACAGAGGUGAUCCUCAGGGGAGACCCUCUGAAUGGCUUUGGACUUCAGCUCCAGGGAGGCAUCUUUGCUACGGAAACUCUGUCUUCCCCACCUCUCGUCCGUUUUAUUGAGCCUGACAGCCCGGCAGAGAGGUGUGGGCUGCUGCAAGUAGGAGACAGAGUCCUUUCCAUCAACGGCAUCGCGACGGAGGACGGGACCAUGGAAGAGGCCAACCAGCUCCUGCGGGACGCGGCGCUCACCAACAAAGUGGUGCUCGAGAUCGAGUUUGAUGUCGCAGAGUCUGUCAUACCCAGCAGCGGUACUUUCCACGUUAAAUUGCCCAAGAAAAGAGGUGUAGAGCUUGGAAUUACAAUCAGCUCUGCAAGCAGAAAGCUUGGGGAUCCUUUGAUCAUCUCUGACAUCAAGAAGGGGAGUGUAGCACACAGAACUGGCACCUUGGAGCCUGGAGACAAGCUGUUAGCCAUUGAUAACAUCCGACUCGACAAUUGCUCAAUGGAGGAUGCUGUGCAGAUUUUAAGGCAGUGUGAAGACCUGGUCAAAUUGAAGAUUAGGAAGGAUGAAGAUAACUCUGAUGAGCAGGAGACAACUGGUGCUAUUAUCUACACAGUGGAGCUGAAACGAUAUGGAGGCCCCUUGGGAAUAACCAUCUCUGGGACAGAGGAGCCUUUUGAUCCCAUUGUCAUUUCAGGCUUGACUAAACGAGGGCUGGCAGAGAGAACCGGAGCCAUCCACGUUGGGGACCGGAUCUUGGCGAUCAACAACGUGAGCCUCAAGGGCAAACCGCUGAGCGAGGCCAUUCACCUGCUGCAGAUGGCAGGGGAGACUGUCACCCUCAAGAUCAAGAAGCAGACAGAGAAAUCCUACCCCAAGAAGUCGGGGAGCAUAAACGAAGUGAGUGACCCAGAAGAUGAGCUGACAGACUCCCAGAAAACUAGCAAGCUGUCUGAGAUGUACUCCUCCACAAUUCCAAGUGUGGACAAUACUGUGGAGUCCUGGGAUGGCUCUGCCAUUGAUGCUGGGUAUGGAAGCCAAGGUACGUACAUACCCCAGGCUGCUGGCAUAGCCCUCCAUCCACACGAGUGGAGACACAGCAGGCAGAAGAGCAGCACCCCUCCAGCAGACCCCAGGAAAAACUACCCCUACAUGGAUGGAAGCUUCAGUGAAGAUGACUGGGACAAAUCCAGCAGAUACCCCAACCGCCAAAAUGGCCUUGAGACCACUCAUGAGGACAAUUUUUGGCGUGUUUUUGGAGAAGCUUUGGAGGAUUUGGAAACAUGCGGCCAGUCUGAACUAUUGAGGGAGAUUGAGGCAUCCAUCAUGACAGGGAGCGUGCACAACCUGGGCUUGGAGGGCAGCAAGCUGCUCCUGGACUCUGUCAACCCCUCGGGAAUGAGCCCACUGAGGAAAGCCAACUCCAGCUGCACCGACGGACAGACUGAGGGCAGCAGCUCCCCCGCCAAGAAGAACGAGAGGAACCUGGACAUGAAGAAGAUGGAGAAGGAGAUGCAGGAAAUCAUGUCCCCGACCCCCCUCGAGUUUCACAAGAUGACACUCCACAAAGACCCAGAGAGUGAAGACUUUGGAUUCAGUUUGUCGGAUGGCCUGUUAGAAAAAGGUGUCUAUGUAAAUAUGGUCCGUCCGGAUGGGCCAGCAGAUCAGUGUGGCCUCAAGCCAUAUGACAGAGUGCUUCAGGUAAUAAAUGCAAAAUGCAGUUCUGGAGGCUGGGACGGAGUGAAUGAGUGGCUGAGAGGAAGAGAGAAGUGAGACCCAUCCAUGGCAGCACUAACUUUAAUGAAAGGUAAUAGUUAGCCAACUAGGUUGGCUCUUAGCCACCAACACUCAAUGGGACCUGUGCUUUAUAAUGAGAAAUCACUAGCUAGUAUUUCAGGUGGUACUCCUAGGUUACACUGGUCCAGAGCACAGCCUGUUCUGGCACUGGCCUUUUUGAGCUUGGACGGCUCAAAACAAGUGAAAAGCUGUGUAGCUUCCUUUCCUCACCCUCAAUCCUACUCCUAGUUUUUGGAUGAACCAGACUGUGUUGACCAAUAUGUGUUCCUGUGAAGCCCCUUGUGGAAUUACGUGAAGUCCAUGAAGUUCUGUGCAUGCCUUUGACAACUAGAAAAGUUUUCUAGGAAACACAUCCUUCAAGCAAGGUAUUUUUUAUGGAUAUUUUUCUUUGAAAAAUGCUUCAUCUGAAACAGCUGAUGCAGAAACAGAAUCAAAACUGGUCAAAAGCACAGUCUGUAAUAAAUGUGCCCUGGGCAUAGCAACUUCUGGAGGGACAGAAAAAACCUGGUGAGUUUUGGAGAUUGGAGACAAGCUCUGUGUGGAUGAAAACCAACUAUUUUAGCUUUGAGGCAACUCAAACAGCAACUGAAGGAAGUGCAACCUCUGUGGAAAAAUUGCUACCAUUUGGAAAUGCAGAUAUUGUCACCAUAUUUGGAAACACUCAGAUGUUUAGUUUUACUAAUUUCUAGGUGGGGGUUCUUAGCAGUCGGAUUAAAGCCAAAACUUUAUGUACAUCAGGUAACUGGAGGACUGGCAGCACUGUGGGGAACCUUGUUUAAGCUUGUUAUGGUCUCUCGCCAGUUGGCUGCUAUACAAUUAUUCCUUCUCAGCUUCAAAUAAAAGAUGGUGCAAGAAUGAACAAGAAGCUAAUUAGGCUCUGGGCUGCCUUUCUGUUCAGUGUUGGAUGUGCUGCUUUUUGCAAGUGCCAAGUGCUCUGGGAGGUGUGCCCAAAAUCCUAAACAGAGCGGCAUGGAGACUUUGGACACCCUUUUUCCACAUGCUGUGCCACACAGCUCACACCUACGGGCACAUGAGGCAGCUGCCAUCACGUUGUCUCGUGGAGUUGGGAAUGAGGGAUUGCAGAUGUGCUAUAGGUGACUCCCUUCAAGAAGUGCAGAGCUGCAUUGCUGAGGAUGCUGCACAGUGCUGCUGAUUGUGGGCACGGUGAUGUGCCCGAAGGCCAGCGAAACACCUCGUCCCUGCUGUCACAGACCCUCUGCCUCUUGGCUGCAUGGAUUAACUGGAGCAUGGCAUUGCACUGGUGGCACUUCUGCACUGGAGCUGCCUGGCUGGCACAGAGCAGGGGCAGAGCAAGCUUGUGGUUUGUCUCUCCUUGUUCACAAGUGGACUAGAAAUUGUCCCUGUGCUGUAAGGGCCAGUAGUGGGGUCUCUGUGCGGACACUGGCUAGGGUGGGGGGACACUGCUGCUUUCACAGACCCAGCACUGUGGGCAUGCAUUAAUUCUGGGAAGGGGCUUGGCAUGGAAGGGUUGUAUGGAGUCAAAUACCCAGCCCUUACCCAAAGAAGGAAGCAACACCUGGCCCCAGGGGUUAUGUUCACUCCAAAGGUGUAUGGGAAAUUGCUUUUCCCCUUCCCCACUUCCCAUCCCUGUGCCGUUUGCCAGCCUGCUCUGUCCCAGAGCUGUCAUGGCACCAAGCCCAAGUGUUCUGGUAACUGUAGGUGAGAGAGCUGGGGUGAUUUCUCCAGAUGACCCGGCCUAGAAAUGUGCUUGAAGGUCUGCAAGAGCCAGCAGAAACUGCUUUCACUGUUGAAUCCUACAGAGAGAAUUUGCAGCUGCCUCCAGAGCUGACAUGAAAUGCAUCCAGGCUCUGUGAAAAGAAGGAUAUAAAUGGGGAGAGGGGAAGAAGAAAUUGUUUGGUAUAGUCUGGGUUUACCUCUGGCUGAGCUGGAAAAUGGUUGCCAGAAGCCUCAGGCCUUCAUUUGUUUUCUAUGUGCUGGAUACUUGGCACCCCAAAUUUAAGGCCAGUAAAAGCCAUUAUGGCAAAAAAAUAAUGGAAAAUGGCAACUUUUUUUCUACAGACUUGGACAGGAGAACUGGUUUUGAGCCCUGCAGUGUUUAAUAUUUGUAAUACUGCCCCAGGCACUGAGGGUCAGGGUUCAUUCCAGACUUUUCCCCCUUUCCUCUAUCAGCUACUGCAUUGUUCCUCAGCUAAGCAUGGAUGCUCAUUCUGAAGGGGUGCUUUUGCUCUUCUCCAUUGUUAACCUGGAAUCAGGGACCCCCAAGAACUGUGUAUUUUUUCCAGCUGGGGUUUAGCACUAAUCUUGCAUUUGCUGACUAACAAACAUGAUCUUUCUGUUGUUCCUUCCCAUGGCAUGUCCUAAAUCCAUCCUGGCAGGUAAACCACAUCCGAACGAGAGACUUUGACUGCUGUCUGGCCGUUCCCUUGAUUUCAGAGGCUGGAGAUAAGCUGGACCUGGUGAUUAGCCGGAACCCCUUGGCCCUGGCUGCCAAUGCUCCCUCGGAGGGGAACAGAGAGCUCCCAGCACAGGUGCCCCACAGCGCCGAGGUCAAGGCGAGUGUCCAGACACUCUGAGCAGCAGGAGCAGAGCAGAGGAUGCCUCUGCUGAGCUCCUGUGGUAUUUGGGGUGUUAUUCCUGUUUUUUUUGCACUGGUAUUUGUAAAUGCUCUGUGUACCAUAACCUGCAAGUGGGGAGGUGGGUCUUCACUGAGCCUGUAGACCGCCAAAUAUUUCUGGGAAGGUCAGAGCUGGGUGUGCGUCUGGGGCUGUGGCAGCGAUGGCAGCAGGACAAACUGCAGCAGGAGGAAGGAGCAUCCACAGCCAUCCCCCAUGGCAGGGCAUCCCCCUGCGCUUCUGCCAUCGAGUGUGCAGGGUCCUGCCUCUGACAUUCUUCUCACCCUGAAAGGCCUUGGCCAUCCUACAAACACACAUGGUGCUAUUAUGUUCUUUCUUUGCUCAGUUAAUCACAUACAGCAGGACUGAAAUGCCUUUCCUUUUAUGUUGUGCCCAGCUCCAUCCUUUCAACACUCCUGGCAAAUCAAUUCCUGCAGCCCCUUGCACUCCCAGUGCAGGGCUGUGGAGAGAGCCAGUUAAAAGACACUUUAAAAUGUGCUUGAGAGUGGCUAAAUGCAAUUCUUGUGCAGAAAUUGGUGUUUGCAGCUGUCUCCUGCCAGCCCUAUCCACACUCUCCCCUAGGUCUGGCUCACCUGUAGUGGGAUUAGGCGCCUUGUGUGCCUGAUUCCCAUGAGCAGUGUUGUUACCUGUGCUCAGUAGUGAUUGCAGAGUAGAGGCCAUACCCAAAGCUAAAGGCCCUGAGUACCUGCCUGAAUCCCCCUUGUUUGUCUGAGCUUUACAGAGAUGUCUUGCUUGCAAACCUGGCCUGUGCUUGGAAGCAAAUAGCAGAGUAGCAAAAUUCCCAUGGCUGCCCCUGAUGUUUUGGAUCAAUGAAACCUUUCUGUCUCCCCUGAGGCAGAGGAAUGACAAACCCUUGGCUGGGUGGAGGUGGUGUCCUGUGUCCCUGUGGGCUGGGUGUGUGUGCCCCUUUGCCUGCUGCUGGCCUCUUGUAGCUCUGUGGCUGCUCCCCUGCUGCCCGAGAGCCCCGCGUGGCAGAGGGGCUGUGACGUUUGCAUUGCCUGCCCUGUUUCCCACAUUAGCACUUUAUGAUGAUGUCCCUGUCCUGGUGGUGGCGUGCAGCUUCGCUUUCCCUGGGAAGGCUGGGCCAUGGAGUCCAAGAGCUCCUUUGGUCAGAGACAGCAGCUCCAGAGCCCACUGCCCCAUUCCCUGCUUGCCCUCCCAGUUCCUCCAUGCCCAGCUGCACGCCAGGGCUGUGUGGAGGGAGCUGGGCGGGUGUGCAGCACGUCUGCGUCGCUUUGCUGAGCCAGGACUGUCCCCGCGCUGUCUGUCCCCUCCAGCCCCUGUGACAGCACAGAUGUUCCUCCCAGGCACGGCCCCAUCCAGCUCCUUGUCGUUGUAGCCAUUUUCUCUUUGAGUAUGCAAUAUCCCAUACCAUUGCUGCCACAGCUAGAUAAUGUGCCAUAAUUGAUACUGUGGAGCAUUGACAGUGCAGCCGAAAGUGUUUUUAUAUGCAAUAUUCUGAGCAGUGGAAGCUCACUGGGGCUUCUCAUAGGUUUUUAAUGAAGACUUUUAUUAAAGGCUUUAAAAAACAAAAAAAAAAGAGAAGGAAGAAAAACUUGGUCCUUGUAUCCCUUCCUAUGCAUUUUGAAUGAUAUGAAGAUGAAAUGCAUUACUUAAAUGUGUAUUUUUAUCCAUAUAUUAGAGUGUAUUCCUUGUAAAGUAUUUUUAUAUGCUAAUUUUCUUAUGUAUCUAUGAAAGCACAAUAUUUAAAAGUACAGCAUUUCAAAGGAUAUUUUAGUCCUGUUUUGGACCUAUUUGUAAAUCUCUGUAUUUAAAUGGGAUUGGAAUGACUCUGACUUUUUUUAAAUUAAAUAAAAGCAAAUGAAAUGCA